CUAGGAAUAGCUGGUGGAAUUGGUCCUGUUGGAACUCAAUCCCCUGGCUUGGGGGAGUCCAGGUAUUUUGAAUGCUGCCGUCUCUUCAGCUGCUUUGCUUUGAGCUGCCCAGGGAGUAAUUUGGAACCCAUCCGGUCUCUCACAUACCCUUCUGCUUAUCUUACAAGGCUUUGUGGUGUGCAGGCAGAGGACUCCACAGACUCAGGAAAAAGAUACAAACCUAUCUGGGGCAGCACAGAUGGAAGGAAAGAGAAAGUGGGACUCAGCUGACAGAUAUCCACUGCUAUUCUAUCACAAGAUACAGGACUGAAAACAAAGACAUCCAAACCUUGAGCCAUUUAGAAGAAGCCAAAAUCUGUGCCAGAGGUUUGUCUGUUGGGUUUACUCAUGGCUUCAGGUACGCUUCUUUCCCUGGGUUGUUUAGCAUUUCAGAGGCCCUC
rnacentral:lncRNA from 1 species